AGAAAAUGUGCUCUGCGUUACCAUCUUCUCCUGCCCUUGCAUUCAGACUUUGACUGGAGCUUGAGUCAUUGGCUUUCCUGGUUCUCAGGCCUUUGGACUUGGACUGGAACUGUACCAUUGGCUCUGCUAGGUCUCCAGCUUGCCCAUUGCAGAAAGUGGGACUUCUUGGCCUCUCUCUCUCCGUAGGGGUCAUUGGAACAGCAUGAUUCUUGAGGAAAGGUUUUCCUAGUCUGAGUCUUCUCAGAAGCAGAUGUCAAGACAAGAUUAUACACUCAAGAUAUAUUGGGUAACAUCUGUGAAACAUAAUGGAGAAGAAACAGGAGAAAGCAGGGAGAACUUUUGCACCAUGAUGCAGGACUGGCACCUCAGAAGGAGAGUGGGAAGGAAAGAGGAUUGAGUAGGAAAAGCCUUAAAUUUCAGCACCAUUCUAAGAAAGCUUCAGCAAGACUAUUGGGUAAUCCUUGAGCCAGUGACCAGUUGAGAGUUCUACACGUCACAGUAAUGAACUUGCAUUAGUGCCUCCAUGGUGCUUUUAAUCAUCGGCUGGCUGCCACCUGGGAAACUUGGCCUUUGUGGAUCCAGAGGGUCACCAAUUGGUAUCAUGACUCAUUUAUGCUCCCCACAGAUGAGAUCUGACCAUUUCAUGGCCUCCAACCCUUGGUCAACUGUAGGCUAACCCAAGAAGAAUAAAGCAUCGGCUUCCCUGACAUGCUGCUCCCCCCAAAACAGAGUGCCAAUAUGAUUCCAAGGUUCUUAGCACACUGUAUAUUACCUCACUCCUCCUACAGGUAAGUAGAAGUUCAGGGCCAUUGAAGAGAUUAAUAAGGGCUGUUGGGAGUUGGAAAAGUCAGAAUGGACUGAACUAAAGUGAGAAGGCAGAGGUUGAGAAAGAGACAGUCUUGGGGAUUUGUGAGCCCAGCAGAAGCUCAGGUUAAAUUUGUUUACUGAUGAGUUGCCUGCAUGGUGCACUUCAUGAGACUGGAAGGCAAGGCUGCCUAGGAGCAACAUGAGACUUGGGGGUCUAUGUUAGACCUGAAGGACUGGAGACACCUGCCUUCAUUCAAAAUGGACUAGGCUGCCUUAGACAGUGUACAUCUCAGCAGUGACAGUGAUGGACCAAAGACCCUCUGUAUAAGUUCAAAGACUCUGAUUGGACUGUACAAGUAGAGUGAGCCUGCUCUCCAGUAAUGAUUUCGGGCGUCUCAUUAACCUGGGAAGUAGGGACUUAGAGGUCCCCAUUUUAAAAGUUAUAAAAUUUUUCUUGCAUGGAGUGCUGUGGCUUGGAUUCACAUCAUUCUAUAUGGCAGUCAUAAAUCAAAAUUAUUAGCGUUUGCAGAAGACUAGUUUGGCAUUUUAUUUAUAAGUUUAGUGGACACACAAUAAUUUGGCUUUUACUCAGUGAGAUACUAGGAAUUCCUGCCAGAAUCAUCAGUUUUGAUUGGAGUUUUCCGUGGUUUUCAACUACUAAUAUUCUAGCUUUUUAGUUACAAGUUAUUAUUGGUUUUGCUUCAUCUUUAUCAUUUUAAUUUGCUGUGAUUUGCCCAGUUAGCCUGUGAUAGUAUAUAUUUUCAUCAACAGAGUUUUACCCUAUAACUUCCUGAUAUAUAGAUUUUUAGACAUCUGUUGAUAGCUUGAAUAUCAUUCAGUCCCUACUGUUCAUAUAAUCAGUGGCACCCCCCUAUCAGCUUCUAAAGUGGUAUUUUAUUCUAAUCAUCAUUUUUUUUUUUCUGCUAGAAACUCGGAAUGAGUGGGGUACGUGAACUAAGGGGUUCUCUGCUUAGCCAGUGGGCCUUGAUCAUAGUUUGGCAAUUGCUACUCGGAGGCUAUAACAUCCCUGUAGCCUCUGAGGCCCAUGGCUUCCUCCCUACUUAUUCUUUUCCUUACCUUUUAUCUUUGGAAGCUCUAGGAACAAGAGAUGAAAUCCUAGUUUAUCACUUUCAGUGUUGGAACCAUAUAUUUUGCAGUUGUCAUAUGAAGAUACAAAGAAGUACCUGAUGAUUUAGAUACACUGAAAAAGAGUCUUGAUGUGUCGGCAGCAAAAAUACAGUAAACUAAACUACCUUUGAUGAUAAUUUAUAUAAGAUUUCAUUUCUUCCUUGCAAGUAGGCUGUUUUCUAGUAUUGAUGUUGAAUUAGAUUUUUAGGGUAGUGUUUUAAAACUAGGAAAAAGACUUUUUAAUACUUAAACAUUCAGAAACUAGUGUCAUCAAUGUCAUUGUGCCCACCACUCACAAUGAAUAAAUGUUAACAUUUUAUAAUAUUCCCUUCAUUUAUAUUUGUAAAACUGAAAUAUUACUGAUCCAGCUGGAGCCUCUUUGUACCUGGUCCUAUUUUCCUCCUUCUCCAGAGACAACUGUGCUCAUGAUUUUGGUAUGUAUCUGACUUCUAGUAUGUGCUUCCAUACUUUGACUACACAGGUAUUUAUCCCUAAACAAGUGUUGCUAUUGUAUGUUUUUAAACUUACUUAAAUGGCACUGUAAUGUAUACAUCAGUCUGUAACUUUGAUUUUUCAUUUAGUAUUAUGAUUUUGAGAUUUAUCUUUACACACAGAUCUAAUUGUUCAUUUCAUCUAGUUCACUCAUUCUAGGAGACAAAGACACAUGUAGAGUAUUUCUUUAAGUAAAUAUUCUCCUAUGGAUGGCCCAAUUAAAAUGUACAGUAUUCUAUAAGUUAUCAGCUUAGCUACUGUCACUUGCUGGAAGCUUUUUCUAUUUCUGUCUUUCUCUCACCAUUAGAGUGUAGUAGAGGCCCUUCCUCUUCCUGGUCCCCUGUGCUCAUGUGUGUUAUAGACUCCACCACAUAUUGUUGAAAAAUGUCCUCCUUUGCCUUAGACUGUGGACUCAUCAACAUCAGGGACCUGUAAUCUGUUCAUAAUGUUCAUGGUGUAGCCCCCAGGUCAGUGCUGUGCAGGAGACAAUGCUGGCACAUUUUGAUGAACAGAUGAAUAAAUGAUUCUAUGUCAUGGAGUAAGCUAUGUCAGUGAUUUAUUGAUGUAGCUUAAAAUCAAAGUCCCAAGUAAGUACUUUUUUUUUU
rnacentral:lncRNA from 1 species